AGGUUCGGUUCCGGCACUAUGUUCAGAUCCUCAACUAUCUAGGGUUUCGGCGAACUAUAUAAAGGACCCAAUGACUCGAUCCAGUGAACAGGUGAAGGUGGCGCCAACUAAACUCAGGAUUACUACUGUCGUUGAUACCAAAGUACCUGUUUGUCCUCUUUACAGUCUUUAUAUAAUGUUAAAUGAUUUAUUGUUUUAGUUUCAAAGGACUCUUACAAAAUAAAUAUAUUCUCUACUCAUAUUCCAGUGAAAAUAUGUCUCAGGCAAUCUAAAGGUGAAGCUUCUAUUGUUGUUAACGAUGGUGUGCGGUACUUUGUCGGUUUCCAGUCAGUUAACCACCCCGAAAACCGAAAGCCCGAGACCAGGAUGCAGACAAACAUCCUUAACCGCUCAAUCUCGGGUCAAAUUUUAAGACAGCAUGCAAGACUUCAAAGAGCAUACUCGGACCACAAUCUGUGUUAUUCUGCUAAUAAUGUUCAGGCGUCGAUGAAUCAACCGAAGUUGAAAAACAGCCGUUCAAUGGGAGUUUUCAACUUGAAACUGUCAAGCUUGAUUGUUCCAAAUGCACUCAAGACAGAUGUUGGUGAAAUAAUGGCGAAGGAACGGAAGAAAGGGGCAAAACAAUGAACUCGACGGUGAUAACGAAGAAGAAAAGGGAUGUGAUGAAGGUUGUAAGGUGGAUUACAACGAUGACGAAGACAGUGUUAUCGUUAAUCAGGAGACGUUCUCUAGAAUGUUGAAGCACGUAUCUUGGUCCGAUACCAAGCUUUUAUCACAACUAGCUUUUCUCUGUAACAUGGCUUACGUUAUCCCAGAGAUUGAGGUAUUUGUGUUUUGUUGAUAUGUUACCACCAGUGUAUAAGACACAUUUGGCUUAAGAAACAACUCUUAAUCUUUGGCUAGAAACGCUCAUCACACAUCUAGAAGGAGGGUGAUUUUUGCAGGUCAGCAGCAUAAGCGGAUCUCUGUGAAACUCAAGGUCUAGGAGAGAGGGAGCUAUAGAGAGAAAGAAACAGUCGCAAUCUUUAGUUCAGCACCAUUUAGACCAUCGAUCACCACCGCUGGCUACCGUCACCGACUUUGUCUCCCACAAACACCAUUGCACCUGCAAACCCCCUAAUCGAACACUAGGGCAUCCGAAUAUCCUUCAGUCGAAUACCCAGUCGGAGUGGGAGGAUUCGAUGAGUUGUGUAGUGUUUGAAGUGGAGGUUUCGUCGGAGAAUAGGUUUUUAUCGAUAAAGUGUCUCAACAAGUCAUAAAAUAUCCUCAUGUGUGUCGGCGAACAGGAUCGUUGCCGGGGAUUAACAUACCCGUCAACAGUUCAAGUGUCCUCCUACUAACGGUUCGGUGGCCAACCCGUGCCGUGAUGCACUAUUGACUUAACGACGGUGUAAUGGAAACCGUACCCUGUUUCCGGUGUCGACGCUAUCUUCUUCACAGAGCGUUCUCAGUUCGUUUUCCUAACAUAUAUAUUAGAGGUGGUUUCUUAGAGGUUUUUACGACGGUCAUCUGUAUAUGGUCCAGAUAAUCAUUAUUAGAGAACAUGAAAGAUAAGUGGAAUUAAGGGAAAACAGGUGAACAUAUGUUUCUUAGAAUUGCUUUUGGUUUUGUUAUUCCUAUUUUUUUCCAAUAUAUGUGAGUUAGGUAUGAGUAGCUAUGCUCUGUUUCACUUUUAUCUUCAAAGAAUGCCACCUCCUGGACUCUCCUGGCCAUCUUCUUUAAUCACAUGAAUAUAUCUUUUAAUCAUCAAA